rnacentral:sRNA from 1 species
AUGCUGUCGUCAGCUCGUGUCGUGAGAUGUUGGGUUAAGUCCCGUAACGAGCGCAACCCUCACUUUUAGUUGCCAUCAUUAAGUUGGGCACUCUGAAAGAACUGCCAGUGAUAAGCUGGAGGAAGGUGGGGAUGACGUCAAGUCCUCAUGGCCCUUACGUGUUGGGCUACACACGUGCUACAAUGGCAUCUACAACAGGAAGCAAAACGGCAACGUUAAGCAAAUCCCGAAAAGAUGCCUCAGUUCGGAUUGCACUCUGCAACUCGAGUGCAUGAAGCUGGAAUUACUAGUAAUCGUGGAUCAGCGUGCCACGGUGAAUGCGUUCCCGGGUCUUGUACACACCGCCCGUCACACCAUGGGAGUUGGUUCUACCUUAAGGCAAGGUUUCAAACCCUUGACCACGGUAUAGUCAGCGACUGGGGUGAAGUCGUAACAAGGUAGCCGUAGGGGAACCUGCGGCUGGAUUACCUCCUUUCUAAGGAUGAGUGAAAGUAAAAUUUCACUCUAAAUAAUAUACAUCGGUAAUGUUGACCGUCCUCAUUUCUCUUCUUAAAGUAAUGUUUCCUUCUUGUAGGGCCGGUAGCUCAGUUGGUUAGAGCACACCCUUGAUAAGGGUGGGGUCGAAAGUUCGAGUCUUUCUCGGCCCACCAAAAACCUAAAUGGGGGAUUAGCUCAUCUGGGAGAGCGCCUGAUUUGCAUUCAGGAGGUAGCAGGUUCGAUCCCUGUAUCCUCCACCAGGAAACAUUUAGUUAUUAAAACUGUAAAUAAAAAUAAUUUAUAUCAAUAUCUAUAUCCGAACAUUAAAAGUUAUUAUUUAAUGUUCAAAAUAAAAAUUUGAUCACAACAUAGAUAAAUUUUCUGUAAAAUGAAUUUUUUUCUGUGCAUAAAUCAAGCGUUUAAGGGCGUGUAGUGGAUGCCUUGGCACUGAAAGCCGAUGAAGGACGUGAUAUACUGCGAUAAGUUUCGGGGAGCUGUAUGUAAGCUUUGAUCCGAAAAUUUCCGAAUGGGGAAACCCGG